AUUGAACGCUGGCGGCAGGCCUAACACAUGCAAGUCGAGCGGAUGAAGGGAGCUUGCUCCUGGAUUCAGCGGCGGACGGGUGAGUAAUGCCUAGGAAUCUGCCUGGUAGUGGGGGAUUACGUCCGGUAACGGGCGCUAAUACCGCAUACGCCCUGAGGGAGAAAGUGGGGGAUCUUCGGACCUCCCGCUAUCAGAUGAGCCUAGGUCGGAUUAGCUAGUUGGUGGGGUAAAGGCCUACCAAGGCGACGAUCCGUAACUGGUCUGAGAGGAUGAUCAGUCACACUGGAACUGAGACACGGUCCAGACUCCUACGGGAGGCAGCAGUGGGGAAUAUUGGACAAUGGGCGAAAGCCUGAUCCAGCCAUGCCGCGUGUGUGAAGAAGGUCUUCGGAUUGUAAAGCACUUUAAGUUGGGAGGAAGGGCAGUAAGUUAAUACCUUGCUGCUUUGACGUUACCAACAGAAUAAGCACCGGCUAACUUCGUG
rnacentral:rRNA from 1 species